rnacentral:rRNA from 1 species
AGAUCAAACUGUUGGUCGUGCCUUGGUACGUACUGGCAUUAUUGAUUUCUCCCUUCUUAAGAACCACGAUGUCAUUAAUUUGGUGUCUUGGGGAAUCAGGACUGUUACUUUGAAAAAAUUAGAGUGUUUAAAGCAGGCUCACGCUUGAAUACAUUAGCAUGGAAUAAUGAAAUAGGACGUUUGAUUCUAUUUUGUUGGUUCUUAGGAUCGAUGUA